AUCUUUAACUGCAGAGAGUUGCAGAGUGCUGGAGCCAGGAGGAACCUUCCAGAAGCCUCAGGGGCUAGGCUGCUUAUCUUAGCAGCAGCCCCACAUCUCGGAAGCAGUAAGGCCAGAAACUGUCACUUCAGAUAUGUGGCCAGUGCCCAAAGCUCUAAGGCAACUGUGCAACUGUGAAGAACUUAUCCAGGUGUUCAAG
rnacentral:lncRNA from 1 species